AUUGAACGCUGGCGGCAGGCCUAACACAUGCAAGUCGAGCGGAUGCAGGGAGCUUGCUCCUGGAUUCAGCGGCGGACGGGUGCGUAAUGCCUAUGAAUCUGCCUGGUCGUGGGGGAUAACGUCCGGAAACGGGCGCUGAUACCGCAUACGUCCUGCGGGAGAAAGUGGGGGAUCUUCGGACCUCACGCUCUCAGAUGAGCCUAGGUCGGAUUAGCUAGUUGGUGGGGUAAAGGCCUACCUAGGCGACGAUCCGUAACUGGUCUGAGAGGAUGAUCAGUCACACUGGAACUGAGACACGGUCCAGACUCCUACGGGAGGCAGCAGUGGGGAAUAUUGGACAAUGGGCGAAAGCCUGAUCCAGCCAUGCCGCGUGUAUGAAGAAGGUCUUCGGAUUGUAAAGCACUUUAAGUGGGGAGGAAGGGCAGUAAGUUAAUACCUUGCUGUUUUGACGUUACCAACAGAAUAAGCACCGGCUAACUUCGUG
rnacentral:rRNA from 1 species